UGCUAAGGAGAGGAUUCAAACCUCUGUACAAGUAUUU
rnacentral:tRNA from 1 species